rnacentral:rRNA from 1 species
AGAGUUUGAUCCUGGCUCAGGAUGAACGCUAGCUACAGGCUUAACACAUGCAAGUCGAGGGGCAGCAUCAUCAAAGCUUGCUUUGAUGGAUGGCGACCGGCGCACGGGUGAGUAACACGUAUCCAACCUGCCGACAACACUGGGAUAGCCUUUCGAAAGAAAGAUUAAUACCGGAUGGCAUAAUUAUUCCGCAUGGGAUAAUUAUUAAAGAAUUUCGGUUGUCGAUGGGGAUGCGUUCCAUUAGGCAGUUGGCGGGGUAACGGCCCACCAAACCUACGAUGGAUAGGGGUUCUGAGAGGAAGGUCCCCCACAUUGGAACUGAGACACGGUCCAAACUCCUACGGGAGGCAGCAGUGAGGAAUAUUGGUCAAUGGACGAGAGUCUGAACCAGCCAAGUAGCGUGAAGGAUGACUGCCCUAUGGGUUGUAAACUUCUUUUAUACGGGAAUAAAGUUAGCCACGUGUGGCUUUUUGUAUGUACCGUAUGAAUAAGGAUCGGCUAACUCCGUGCCAGCAGCCGCGGUAAUACGGAGGAUCCGAGCGUUAUCCGGAUUUAUUGGGUUUAAAGGGAGCGUAGGCGGGUUGUUAAGUCAGUUGUGAAAGUUUGCGGCUCAACCGUAAAAUUGCAGUUGAUACUGGCGACCUUGAGUGCAACAGAGGUAGGCGGAAUUCGUGGUGUAGCGGUGAAAUGCUUAGAUAUCACGAAGAACUCCGAUUGCGAAGGCAGCUUACUGGAUUGUAACUGACGCUGAUGCUCGAAAGUGUGGGUAUCAAACAGGAUUAGAUACCCUGGUAGUCCACACAGUAAACGAUGAAUACUCGCUGUUGGCGAUAUACGGUCAGCGGCCAAGCGAAAGCAUUAAGUAUUCCACCUGGGGAGUACGCCGGCAACGGUGAAACUCAAAGGAAUUGACGGGGGCCCGCACAAGCGGAGGAACAUGUGGUUUAA